rnacentral:rRNA from 1 species
AUUGAACGCUGGCGGCAUGCCCUACACAUGCAAGUCGAACGGCAGCACGGGAGCAAUCCUGGUGGCGAGUGGCGAACGAGUGAGUAAUAUAUCGGAACGUGCCCAGUCGUGGGGGAUAACGCAGCGAAAGCUGUGCUAAUACCGCAUACGAUCUACGGAUGAAAGCGGGGGAUCGCAAGACCUCGCGCGAUUGGAGCGGCCGAUAUCAGAUUAGCUAGUUGGUGAGGUAAAGGCUCACCAAGGCGACGAUCUGUAGCUGGUCUGAGAGGACGACCAGCCACACUGGAACUGAGACACGGUCCAGACUCCUACGGGAGGCAGCAGUGGGGAAUUUUGGACAAUGGGCGCAAGCCUGAUCCAGCAAUGCCGCGUGCAGGAUGAAGGCCUUCGGGUUGUAAACUGCUUUUGUACGGAACGAAACGGCGAGCUCUAAUACAGUUUGCUAAUGACGGUACCGUAAGAAUAAGCACCGGCUAACUACGUGCCAGCAGCCGCAGUAAAAC